UACGUAGGGGGCAAGCGUUGUCCGGAUUCAUUGGGCGUAAAGAGCUCGUAGGCGGCUUGGCAAGUCGGGUGUGAAACCUCCAGGCUCAACCUGGAGACGCCACCCGAUACUGCCAUGGCUAGAGUCCGGUAGGGGACCACGGAAUUCCUGGUGUAGCGGUGAAAUGCGCAGAUAUCAGGAGGAACACCAGUGGCGAAGGCGGCUUCCUGGCCUGUUCUUGACGCUGAGGCGCGAAAGCUAGGGGAGCAAACGGG
rnacentral:rRNA from 1 species